GAGGACAUGAGGUCCAACAGCUGCAAUGGCUGUCCCAUGGAAUGGUUAUUGACAUGACAUGAUUUUAGCUAGGGACCAAGGAUAUUCUUCUGCUGACAUUCCUCCUCCCUUAUCUCCACCUCCUGAACCUCCAACAAGUCCAGUUAUUGUUCUUGAUGACUCCUAAGUAUCAGGUGUUAGAGAGGAAACUGGAGAUGACAGGGUAAAUGUUAUAGCUGAAGGAAUGUUUGGUGGCUACUUGACCAAUUCAUCUGCUAAUGGUGCCACCACCUUUCUCCCAGCUUUAGAUGAACUUGAUCCAUUUUAAUUUCAACUGGCUGUGGUCAUAGGGCUAACUUUUGGGAAAACUUGGUAGUUAUAGCGCCUAACUUUUGGGUAAAGCUGAUUCUUACCGAAACAUGUGUAAUGAAGUGGAAUUAUGCCAUUUUGAGGGCAAGAUGAUUAUAAUGCAUCCUUUGAAUGCUA